CUGUGUUUCAAAAUGUUUUUUAAAUCGUUUUUAAUCUUCUUGAUAUGUGUUUAAUUGUUUUUAAUAUUGUCUCUAUGGCAUUAUUUUAAAACUCUUGAUUGUGUAGUAUUGAUUGGUGGGAGCUGUCUUCAAACCCGUUUAUAUAAAAGAAAGACUGAGUUCUUUCUGGGUUUGUCUUCUAUUGUAUCUCUUGUAGAAGUAUUAUAAUAUUGGCUUAUUUAUCUUGAAGUGUGUAUUUUAAAUAUGUAUGUGGAUUUUAAAAAUUUCUGCCCUACAGUUUGACAAUACCCUGAAGUUGGCUUCCACGCUGAUUUUUUUAAAAAAAUUACAAUAAAUUAAUAGCAAUAUAAUAUGAUUAAUUAAAAAUGUUAUAAACAGAGAUAAUGAUGAAGAGAGGCACACAAACACAAAUAUUUAUGUGUGUAUAGACAGGUAUAAUAGCAUGUCUGCUUUCAUUUAACAUUGCCAAUAGUGAGUUUUAGUUUAACAUCACUGAGUGGUUUUCAUAGGCUUGGUAAGGAGCUAUGGUUGAAUAAUGGGAGGCAAUGACUUGCAAAAUAAAGCCGAGUAGGGUUACCCUAAUUCUGACAGGAGGACUAGUAGCUUAUUUAUGAGCAAAUAACCCUCUCCUCCUCUUUGGCGCCUUUCCCUGAACUUCAUUUCCUUUCACCUUCUAGCCAAAUAUGCCCUUGACAGAAAUACAGAAUUGAUGGGUGGACGAGUGCUGCUCAUCUCACACCUUUGUGGUCCCAUAAGACCCAUAACAUGAGAUCGAAGGCUAAACCCAUGUCUGUGAAGGAGCACAAGACCAGGCCCCUCAGAUCUUGUUGGACCGUUAACUUCUACAACCAACACGGGCAAAGGUGAGAAGCAAUGGAGGCUGUGGAUUAACAACAACUGGAGGGCCACAAUUUCCCAACCUGUGCAGUAGAGGUGAGAGAAAAUCACAAGGAUAGCUUUAUCGCCCAUUCAAAAAGGUCCAAGGCUAUUAAGAAACUGUUAGGAUGAAAGGACCCCAUUU
rnacentral:lncRNA from 1 species